rnacentral:rRNA from 1 species
UACAGAGGGUGCAAGCGUUGUCCGGAUUUAUUGGGCGUAAAGAGCUCGUAGGCGGUUCGGCAAGUCGGAUGUGAAAUCUCCACGCUCAACGUGGAGGGGCCAUUCGAAACUGCCGUGACUCGAGUCCGGUAGGGGAGUGUGGAAUUCCCGGUGUAGCGGUGAAAUGCGUAGAGAUCGGGAAGAACGCCAAGGGCGAAGGCAUCUGCUAGGCCUAUUU